GGCUAAAUCGUAUAAUUGGUAAUACUCUAGACUGCAAAUCUAUUAAUGGCGGUUCAAGUCCGCCUUUAGCCU
rnacentral:tRNA from 1 species